GUCUAAUAUUAGGAGAUUGUUUUUUCCUUUUUGGCUCCAUUAUUGUAUUAUAAAAGGAUGUGUACAUAGUGAGGUUCAAUUAUCAAGAAAUAUAGAAAAUUUCUUGUUCCUGUUUUUGUUCAGUUUAUUAUAUGUGUAAAUGUAAUAGUCCUUUCAUUUUGUAUGGUUCUACUAGGAUGCUGUAAAGCUUCAAGCAGCUGCUGCUAGUCACAGAGAAGUUGGUCAACUCCAAUCGUCUAAAUCACAGGUGAACAAGAGCACAUCUGAUGUAAGGAAUAAACGAAAGUUUGAUGCAAAUUCAACAAAAGCAUUACACCAUUGUGAUCAAAUCAGCAAGCAGAUCGAUGUAGACGAGACAAAGAAAGUAGGUGAGGACGUUCCUGUUGUUAAGAAAAGGGAUGGGAGACACAGUUCUCUGCUAAACUCAGAGGAGGGAUAUGAUCUUUCCUGCCCGCCAGUUCAAAACUCUCAUUCUAGGAAGAGGCGCACAAGGAAAAAGGUAUGGCUUAGUUAUUUUUGUCAAGAAUUUCUAUUAAGUUAUUAAAUUUUUAGUCAUCCCUUACAAGAGUUUAAUUAGAUGUGUAGGUAUUUUUUAUAUUACCACGCAGAUUUGGUCUAUAACUUGUGCUAAUUACUUGUGAAAUGCUGUUGGAAUUAUAAUGCUUUCUUACUUUGAUCUCUACUUGUCCUCUUCUAUGCUAAUAUAUUAUGCUGAUGUCAAGAAAAUGCACAUUUGGUAACUGCAUUAAUGAGAUUAAAAUGUGUUUAGACCUUAUAUGUAAUUAUUUGACCAACAUUUGAAAUAAUAGGUUAGUAUUUGAGGUCAUCAAUUCAAAACAUGCAUGAGGAGCUAUAAAUAGGCUGUACAAGAAAAAUAAUAAAGAGAAAAAUGUUUACCUUAUCCUAGCUAUCCAACCAUUUCUAGGAGAAUCAACUACAAUAAAAAUUAAAAUCAGGCAAGGAAAACAGGUCCAAUAAUAAAUAUACCAAAUACACAUUACAUACCAUUCUGGGAAAUAAAGAUCUUUUGGUAUAUUACGCUGUAAUGGUUACAUUAUUGGUAGCUUAUUGCCAUUUCAAAAGAAGUACACGAGUUUCUGCGUUUCUAUAGAAGCUGGUCCUCGUUGAAUUUUAUAAAAAUUAUUUUCAUUAAUUCUUUAGCAUGUUUGGCUAAGCUUAUCAGGUGCUUUUCUAGUUUGGCCCUUCCAACUAUUCUUAUUGAAUUUUGAUUUAUGUACUGGACCUAACCACCUGGUGCCCACCUCUAAUUGUGGGUGGGACGAGGGGUGUAUAUUUAUAAUGCUCUUGGAAGUUAGGUUGGGGGCAGUACAUANNNNNNNNNNNNNNNNNNNNNNNNNNNNNNNNNNNNNNNNNNNNNNNNNGGGGGGGGGGGGGUUGAGUAGCUUCUGCCAUCGUAUACACAUUCAUUCAGUCACGGGUUGACUUCGUAACUACCAGACGUCUUUUUCUACCCUUGGUGUUGAGCUUUUCUGUUACACACCAAUAGUUACUAUGCGUGUACUCCCUCCCUUCUUUUCUUCCACACCUUUAAUUUGUAUGCAGCGUUCAGCAUACAAAUUUUGCCCUUAGAUUCUACUUAAUUAGGUGGAAAAAUUGUACCAUUUUCUCCAACCUAUUAUUGCGAGUUGGUCUCAAAUAUUUGCGAAAUAAGUCUUAAGAUUGUGCAUUUUCAUAGAAGUUGGUCCUCAUUGAAUUUCACAAGCUUUAUUGUCACCAAUUCUGUAUCAUGUUUGGCUAAGCUUAUAAGGUUCUUAACGUGUCAUGCCUUUAAGCAUUUCUUAUUGCAUUUGAUUUACGAAUCUGGAUUGGCCUAACAAAUUUUUUCUUUAUGAUAUGAAUCUAAAUGGAAGUCGUGGGUUCAAACAAUUGAUCUCCUUUUCAGAUCUUACUCAAAAAGGAAAUAGGAUACUGUGACACCAAUUCUUAUUUUUGUGAAAUAUCUCAUUUAAAUGCCUUCUGGACCAUGUAUUUGGUAAAGGUUCUAAGUUUCUUGUCCGAAAUAUAAUUUUAAUGUGCAGGCUCAGUAGGCCUCAAACUAAUUCUUCUCAUCCUUCCAGAGGAAACACAAGGUGAGAUACCUAUUUCAUUAGCUAUCCUUGUUGUGUAGAACUAAUUAAAUUUCGAAUUAAUUAAAUCGAUAUCUUCCACAAAAGUAUUUUUUUUAAGGAUUAAAUUUUGGUAAUGAGAUUAUGGAGUUGCUUACAUCAUCUCUCGAUUCAGUAAUUAAACCUUCAUAAAUCCAUUUUUUCCCUUCAUUUUCCAGGGAAAGCUUCCUUGAAGUAUCCACAGAUGGAGGAAGAAUGAUAUUAAACUUGUCUUGGUUUAGUUCAAUUUACCUUACCAAACAAGUCAUUAAUGUUCUUGAAUUGUCAAUAUCCAACAUAGUGAGGAUGUAACCACUGUCUUGACCCAUUAGCUUCAUUUUACCACACUUAAUAGUUUUUUCCUCCUUUGAAUGUAAAUUCAUGCUAUUAUCAUUGUUGGAAAUAUUGCAAAGACAAUUUCAUAUAUACUAGUAAAAACUGUAAUUUUGGAUUUGGUCCUGUCUCUCCGGAGGCAAUAGCUUAUCAGAUUUAACCUUGGAUUCCGUGGUAGUUCACAAUCAGAAAUACGAAAAACAAACUUAUAUGUUGUUCAUCGGAAUGUCCAUCCCGUUCAUUGCUAUGCACCUAACAAGCCCUUAUGUGUUCCUUACAAAAACCUGAUGCACUUCCUGAGGAUAAAAAAACAAGGGGUGAACAGUUUUGAAAUUGUUUGUAAUUUUUCUUAUGCAGGUUUCUGGAAAAAGAGGAGACAACUUGAAGUAACAAAAGGAAAAAGAAUUACAAGAACCUUGCAAUUUUGAAGUGUUUGAAGUACGUGACUUUAUCGGUAUAUAGUUUUGUUAAAGUCCAUUUUUGAUAUCCGUGCACUCAUCUAUUAACAAGUAACAGAUGAAAGAUAUGAUGUUCGUUCGAGGUGUAAUAAUCUAUUUUGCAUCCUCAUUUUCUAGAUUAUGAUGUGUAUACAUUGAUCUUUUUUGUGUUAUUGGCAACAUUUCAUAUGUUGGUUUAACUUUGUUUUUGGUCCAAGCAGUCUGUGAAAUAUUGUUAAUUCAGCACCUAUAAACCAAUUUUUCAAAUACAAUUGUACAAAUGGCACAUUGGGCUUGUAUG
rnacentral:lncRNA from 1 species